UAUGGGUAUAUCCGCCAUUUGUAAGGUAUCGAUGCUAGUGUGUUCAAUUUGGAGGAUUGUGUUGGUCUUAAAUGUGGUAAAAUGUUUUCCCUGUUUGUAGAAAGGACAUGGACAGCUUGUAGUGGACGUAUAACAAAGAGGUGUCGGAUGGUCUGGGUUGGAGCUGUGCGACGCAAAAACAUCACCUUUGGAAACAUAUCUCCGUUUAUGUAUGUCUGCUCUCGACAUUUUCAUAAAGGUCACCCUGCAUAUGAGAUGAUGGAGACUGACCCAGACUGGUCCCUCCAUCUGGGUCACACAGAAAUCUCUCGAUGUGCAACAGUGAUCGAGUACUCGACCGUGACAGCGAUGAUCGAUCACAUAAACGAUGAUCGAAAUGAUUAUUUUUUUAAAUAAUAAAACAAAAGACGUUAGAAGACAGAUAAUCAUGGCCUCAAAGUCACGUAAGUGAUGGCUGGUUUCCCUUUGAGAAGAACGAUGAAAAUACAGUUCAGGGUAAGCUGUACUGCGCCAAGCUGUCACAUACAUCUACAACAAAUAUAAUCCGCUAUCAUCUAAAAUGUGUACAUAAAAUAUUUGGCGAUAACAGAGCGGCAACUCAUACGAGCAUUGAAUCACCUGCCGUAAGACCUAAAUGCAACGCAGGCAGAACCGAGAAGACGACAAAGCUAUUCGCUGAAAUGGUGGUGAAAGGUUUGCUAGCCAUUAGUUUCAGCGACAGAGAAGGUUUACUUGUCCAGUGGUACCUGGCUGUUCCUGCAACAUCUGUUCCAGCGGAGCGAAUUUAUUCCACUUAAUGUGAACAGGCUGCGCACUCGGCUCUCAUCUGAGCACGUAGACCGACUUAUCUUUUUGAAUAGACAUUUGAAUGUUUCAUCGGUCGUGGUAAAUAUAAUAUCCAUUUUUUUUAAAUAAUAUUAUUUUCGUUUUGAGCUAAAGCCAUAGUUAAUAUAUCUGUUGGUUGUUGGCUGUUGGUCUCUGUUUUAUACCUUAUAAUUGUUGUUUGGUUAAACUUGGUGAACUUUUUUCUUAAUUUUUUAAAAACUACGUUUCACCGCUGGAUCAAAUAUGCUGCUAAAGUUAAACUG